GCGGGCGUGGUGCAUGGAGCACAGCUGUCUUUCAUUCGCGUCUCUAGAAAAAUUACUGUAAGCAGCGAACCCGGGUUCGACUCCCGGCACCCGCA